rnacentral:lncRNA from 1 species
CGGGACAUUAUAUUCUUCAUUAUUUCAAUUAUGUCGUAUGCCUUACAAAUGAGCAUUUGUUUUAAUACUUCUCGGGUGACUGAGAGUCGAACACAAGUGUCACAGGACAACAGAGUAUAAACCCCCCUAUUUGGGCUAUCCAAUCCACUCUUUCUAUAAUUUCUUUUGCUACUAGCAUACCAGGAUAACUAUCAUCCUGCAAUUUAUUAAGUAUCUGCAUCUUCUCAUAAAGCCAUUUGGAU